rnacentral:rRNA from 1 species
UACGUAGGGGGCUAGCGUUGCUCGGAAUGACUGGGCGUAAAGGGCGCGUAGGCGGCUUGCACCGUCAGAUGUGAAAUUCCUGGGCUUAACCUGGGGGCUGCAUUUGAUACGUGUGGGCUUGAGUGCGGAAGAGGGUCGUGGAAUUCCCAGUGUAGAGGUGAAAUUCGUAGAUAUUGGGAAGAACACCGGUGGCGAAGGCGGCGACCUGGUCCGUGACUGACGCUGAGGCGCGAAAGCGUGGGGAGCAAACAGG